CGAAGAAGCACAGAUGAUCGCCGGUUUCGCAAGAAACGGGAGGAAAGUCCGGGCUCCAUAGGGUAGGAUGGUUCUUAACGGGAACCGAGGGUGACCUCAGGGCUAGUGCCACAGAGAGAAGACCGCCUGCCACUGGCAGGUAAGGGUGAAAGGGUGAGGUAAGAGCUCACCAGCUCUGAUGGUGACAUCAGAGGCUAGGUAAACCCCAUCCGGAGCAAGGCCAAAUAGAGAGGCGCUUGAAGGCUACCCGCCUGAAGCUUCUGGGUUGGCUGCUUGAGGCCGUCGGCAACGGCGGUCCUAGAGGAAUGAUCGUCCCCUGACUUUGGGUAACCGAAAUCAGGUACAAGACCCGGCUUACGGGCUUCUUCGACCA
rfam:Desulfobacteraceae bacterium 4572_35.2 ex4572_35.2_scaffold_6098, whole genome shotgun sequence.